rnacentral:rRNA from 1 species
AGAUUAAGCCAUGCAUGUCUAAGUACAAGCCUCACUAAGGUGAAACCGCGAAUGGCUCAUUAAAUCACACCUAAUCUACUGGAUAGUUAACAGUUACUUGGAUAACUGCGGUAAUUCUGGAGCUAAUACAUGCACAAAGCCCCGAACUUACGUGAGGGGCGCUUUUAUUAGAUCAAAACCAAACGGCUUCGGCUGUUCUCUUGGUGACUCUGAAUAACUUUGGGCUGAUCGCAUAGCCUAGCGCUGGCGACAUAUCCUUCGAAGGUGUGCCCUAUCAACUGUCGACUGUGGCAUAGACGCCCACAGUGGUUUUGACGGGUAACGGGGAAUCAGGGUUCGAUUCCGGAGAGGGAGCCUUAGAAACGGCUACCACAUCUAAGGAAGGCAGCAGGCACGCAAAUUACCCAAUGACCGAAGGUCGAGGUAGUGACGAAAAAUAACGAUACGGGACUCAUCUGAGGCCCCGUAAUCGGAAUGAGUACACUUUAAAACCGUCCCCGAGGAUCUAUUGGAGGGCAAGUCUGGUGCCAGCAGCCGCGGUAAUUCCAGCUCCAAUAGCGUAUAUUAAAGUUGUUGUGGUUAAAAAGCUCGUAGUUGGAUCUCGGCGGUCUGAGGGCGGUUCACUUGCUAGUGCUACUGCCCUAUAGACCGUAGUUUUGC